UACGUAGGGUGCAAGCGUUGUCCGGAAUUAUUGGGCGUAAAGAGCUCGUAGGCGGUUUGUUGCGUCGGCUGUGAAAUCCCGAGGCUCAACCUCGGGUCUGCAGUCGAUACGAGCAAACUAGAGUGUUGCAGGGGAGACUGGAAUUCCUGGUGUAGCGGUGAAAUGCGCAGAUAUCAGGAGGAACACCGGUGGCGAAGGCGGCCCUCUGGACGAAGACUGACGCUGAGACGCGAAAGCGUGGGGAGCAAACAGG
rnacentral:rRNA from 1 species